rnacentral:tRNA from 2 species
GGGCGGUUAGCUCAGUGGCAGAGCAUUCGCUUUACACGCGAAGGGUCGCGGGUUCAAUCCCUGCACCGCCCA